AACGUACGCUGGCGGCACGCCUAACACAUGCAAGUCGAGCGAUCUCUUCGGAGAUAGCGGCGCACGGGUGAGGAACGCGUGGGAACGUACCAUUUAGUACGGAAUAGCCCCGGGAAACUGGGAUUAAUACCGUAUACGCCCUGAGGGGGAAAGAGUUUAUCGCUAAAUGAUCGGCCCGCGUUAGAUUAGCUUGUUGGUGAGGUAAUGGCUCACCAAGGCUACGAUCUAUAGCUGGUUUGAGAGGAUGAUCAGCCACACUGGGACUGAGACACGGCCCAGACUCCUACGGGAGGCAGCAGUGAGGAAUAUUGGACAAUGGGGGAAACCCUGAUCCAGCCAUGCCGCGUGUGUGAUGAAGGCCCUAGGGUUGUAAAGCACUUUCAUUGGUGAAGAUAAUGACGGUAACCAAAGAAGAAGCCCCGGCUAACUUCGUG
rnacentral:rRNA from 1 species